rnacentral:pre_miRNA from 1 species
UUAGUGUGUGUGUGGAGUUGGAACGUUUGCUUACGUUUGCCGCUAGGGGCGCUGUUCCAACUGAAUACAAAUUUGUGUUA